UGCCCCAGUAACGGCGAGUGAAGCGGCAACAGCUCAAAUUUGAAAUCUGGUCCCUAGGGCCCGAGUUGUAAUUUGUAGAGGAUGCUUUUGGUGAGGUGCCGCCCGAGUUCCCUGGAACGGGACGCCACAGAGGGUGAGAGCCCCGUCUGGCUGGCCGCCGAGCCUCUGUAAAGCUCCUUCGACGAGUCGAGUAGUUUGGGAAUGCUGCUCAAAAUGGGAGGUAUAUGUCUUCUAAAGCUAAAUAUUGGCCAGAGACCGAUAGCGCACAAGUAGAGUGAUCGAAAGAUGAAAAGCACCUUGAAAAGAGGGUUAAAUAGUACGUGAAAUUGUUGAAAGGGAAGCGCUUGUGACCAGACUUGGGCGCGGCGGAUCAUCCGGGGUUCUCUCCGGUGCACUUCGCCGCGUCUAGGCCAGCAUCAGUUCGUCGCGGGGGAAAAAGGCUUCGGGAACGUGGCUCCUCCGGGAGUGUUACAGCCCGUUGCAUAAUACCCUGCGGUGGACUGAGGACCGCGCAUCUGCAAGGAUGCUGGCGUAAUGGUCACCAGCGAC
rnacentral:rRNA from 1 species